GACAGAGGGAGCAAGCGUUGCUCGGAAUCACUAGGCGUAAAGGGCGCGUAAGCGGGAUGGCAAGUCAGUCGUGAAAUCUCUCGGCUCAACCGAGAAACGUCGGCUGAUACUGCCGUUCUUGAGGGAUGCAGAGGAGACUGGAAUUCCCGGUGUAGCGGUGAAAUGUGUAGAGAUCGGGAGGAACACCGGUGGCGAAGGCGGGUCUCUGAGCAUCUCCUGACGCUGAGGCGCGAAAGCGUGGGGAGCAAAC
rnacentral:rRNA from 1 species